GAGGGCUAGUGAUAAAGUGUCAGGACACCUUAACCACUCGGCCACCGCAGCCCCUAGGGGCAGGAUGACCUAUAGUCAUCGUGUGUCGUUCGUCGUCCGCAGUGUGUAAACUUUUCACAUUUCAAACUUCUCAAGUUCCAUUGGUGGGAUUGAGCUGAAACUUGCAUGGAAUGAUACCGAAAUGGUCCUGACCAAGGGUUCUUAUAUUUGCAGGGAGGUUCCAAAAUGUUUGUCAAAUGGGGAACAAAAAACAAAGCUGACUUUGCAGCAAAAGAACAGACAGGAUACUGGUGCAGCUGGCACCACUUCUUGACACGGGGCACCACCACUUCCUGACCCAGGGCGCCACCAUUUCCUGACCCAGGGCACCACCACUUCCUGGCCCAGGGCACCACCACUUCCUGACCCAGGGCACCACCACUUCCUGACCUGGACCUAGAUGUUAAAAUGGACAUUUUGAAGAAGAGCCAGUCUCUGUCCAAGAAACCAAAAUUAGAGAAAACUCAAGGUAUGUGACCUGGGAAGAAUUUGAAAAACUGAAAAAUGACUUCUUGAAACUGAAGAAGAAAAUGGAGAAGUAAAAAACCUUAGAACCCAUGCAAGUUUCAAGAAAGGCCAGCCAAACACACCACCGUGAACCAACAACACCAACAACACCUAGAACAUCACAGCAGACAGACUCGACAAGGAUAUCCCAAUCAACACCAACACCACAGCAGACUGAUACAACAAAGACAACAGAACAAACAUCAUCAUCAUCAUCAUCAUUAUCAUCAUCAUCAUCAUCAUCAUCAACAGACAUACAGACAUACAAUGGUCACACAUUGAGUGACUUGAUGGAUAUGGUGUGCUACAAAGAUAAUCUUUAUGCGUGUUGUGCACACCAUAUUACUGGUUCUGUUUCCAGUAAAUUAUAUUGUAUCACACAGUGUGACAGGACAGAGGACAAACAGUCAUUGUGCUGCCAAACUCAAAUUUGAUGGUCGGCUUUACAACAUUUUCCUCGCUGUCUUGGGGUGUAGAGGGGGGGGUGUUAUGAGUACAUGUACUUUAAAAAAAAUAAUGCCAUUGAAUUAGAUUUCCAGAGCAAAUAAUGAAGUGAUUUUUAUUGGUAUGUUUUGUCAAAUCUUAUUAUCUAAGAUAUUUUAGAAUUAUACAUGCAUGUCCAUUGUGUAAUUUUAUUGUUUUCAAUCUGUGCUAACAGUUGUAUAUUAUUUUAGAAAGAUCCUUUUUUUCAAGACGCUACUUUUGCUUUUGAUGUUUGCUAUAAUAAUAAAAAAAAUGUACAUGUAUGCAUGUACAUUGUACAUAGUUAAUCAUGUGGCCUUACUGUUCUCCAUAAAGGUACUGUAUUGUUUUUUUUUUAUUAUAAUUGUCAACCAACUCUCAAGUACAUUAGACUUUUUACAACUAUAAGGUUAAACCAGGUCGACCAUGGUUAAUCAUGGUUUGACCAUGGAUAAUUAGACCAUGGUCAAUCGUGGUCAACCAUGGUCACGGUUCGCAGGGGUCAGUCCUUUGUAGUUUGACUUGAAGCAGUUUACAGGUUUAUGAGGAGUUGACUGGAAAAAAUUCCCCCUACACCCAAAAAACAAAGUAUAGUGACCUGGUUACCAUGGUAACCACAAAAUUACAACAUGAUCUAGAUAACGCUCAUCUACAAUGUAU